rnacentral:rRNA from 1 species
AGUGAACGCUGGCGGUAGGCCUAACACAUGCAAGUCGAACGGCAGCACAGUAAGAGCUUGCUCUUACGGGUGGCGAGUGGCGGACGGGUGAGGAAUACAUCGGAAUCUACUUUUUCGUGGGGGAUAACGUAGGGAAACUUACGCUAAUACCGCAUACGACCUACGGGUGAAAGCAGGGGAUCUUCGGACCUUGCGCGAUUGAAUGAGCCGAUGUCGGAUUAGCUAGUUGGCGGGGUAAAGGCCCACCAAGGCGACGAUCCGUAGCUGGUCUGAGAGGAUGAUCAGCCACACUGGAACUGAGACACGGUCCAGACUCCUACGGGAGGCAGCAGUGGGGAAUAUUGGACAAAGGGCGCAAGCCUGAUCCAGCCAUACCGCGUGGGUGAAGAAGGCCUUCGGGUUGUAAAGCCCUUUUGUUGGGAAAGAAAAGCAGUAGGUUAAUACCCCGCUGUUCUGACGGUACCCAAAGAAUAAGCACCGGCUAACUUCGUG